rnacentral:lncRNA from 1 species
AUGGGAAGGGACGGGAAGGGACGGGAAGGGAAGGGCAGGGGUAAUGCGGAGGAGCUGUGCUGUCGGCGGGCGCCUGUCCAGCGGGGGCACCGGGAAGGGGCUCUCGAAGCCCCUUGUUCGGGGCACGGGGGAUUUACACGUCUCCCUUCCUGCUGCCGCGAGGUCYGUCGCGGCUGGGUGAAGCCUGCUCCCGGGGUCCUUCCCGUGCCGCCUCUGCCAGCUGCGUCGCUGGCUGGGGAAGGCAUUGCCUCGCUCCCUAYGGCUUGGGCAUCUUUUCACCCUUCCCACGCAGGGAGAAACGUGUGCUCCACGCGCAAGCUUUGCCAGCAGCAGCUCUGCCCUCUCCGUCCCCCCGAGGCUCCUGGCAAUUCCUGCCAGGGGGAUCUCCUCCGGGGAGCAGCCCCGAGCGCAGGGACACCAGUGCCGGCUCGGUGCCGGGAGCGAUUUCCCGGGAAGGGGAGCUGGCCCGCGCCGCCGCGGGGGAGAGCGGCCAGGAGGGCGUGCGGGGCAGCCUGUGCACUCGGGCUGAGCUGCAGCACCUCACCGCCGUGGCUCGCCCUGCGCCGCUGCAUCACCCGGCAUUGCUGUGUUGCCCUGCGCCGCUGCAUCGCCCUGCGCCGCUGCAUCACCCUGCACUGCUGCAUCGCCCUGUGCUGCUGCAUCGCCCUGCACCGCUGCAUCGCCCUGUGCCGCUGCAUCCCCCUGCGUUGCUGCAUCACCCUGCACUGCUGCAUUGCCCUGUGUUGCUGCAUCGCCCUGUGCCGCUGCAUCGCCCUGUGCUGCUGCAUCGCCCUGUGCCGCUGCAUUGCCCUGUGUCACUGCCUCGCCCUGCGUUGCUGCAUCACCCUGCGUUGCUGCAUCACCCUGCGCCGGUGCAUCACCCUGUGUUGCUGCCUCACUCUGUGCCGCCGCAUCGCCCUGCACUGCUGCAUUGCCCUGCACCGCUGCAUCACCCUGCAUUGCUGCAUCGCCCCGCACGCACCCACUGCACAGGCCCGGGCACCGAAUGGGCGAGGGAAACCAGCAACGAGAGCUUCACAGAAGGGGAAAGUUAAGAAGAAAGCAAAACAUAAAGCCUCGAGGAAAGACAGACAAACAAAUGCACACAGACAGGAAAGACACAGCCGGGCACCCCACAAGCAGUCCUGCCCGUUAUCAGCCCAACCCACGGACACGGCAGUGCAGGAGUCACGAUUCCUCGAGAAAAGUACCCAGACAUACUUUGCAAAGGUAUGCGGAUACUGA